rnacentral:lncRNA from 1 species
UUCAUCACGAUUUGAUCUAGACCGUCCAAUCGUAUUUAAAUAGAAAGUGAAUAUAGACCGUUCAUCGUGAUUUGAUAUGGACCAUAUGAUCAUGUUUAAAAGGGGAACGGAUCUGGACUGUCCACAUGUGCGGGAACGAAUCUGGACCGUCCGAUCACGGUCAUGCGAAUUGCCAGGGUGGCCUUUCGGGUGGCAUUGCACCAGCGUGCCUUGCCAGGCGGCACGCUUCGAUUCGUCGGGGCUAUUGACUGGGCAUCCUACAUAUCACAUUUUUCUUAAAUUAGUU